ACGAACGCUGGCGGCGUGCUUAACACAUGCAAGUCGAACGGGAUUUAGUAAACAGAAGCCUCGGUGGAAGAUUACUAAUGAGAGUGGCGAACGGGUGAGUAAUGCGUGAGCAACCUGCCUAUGACAGUGGGAUAGCCUCGGGAAACCGGGAUUAAUACCGCAUAAAAUCGUAGAAACACAUGUUUCAACGGUCAAAGAUUUAUCGGUCAUAGAUGGGCUCGCGUCUGAUUAGCUAGUUGGUGAGAUAACAGCCCACCAAGGCGACGAUCAGUAGCCG
rnacentral:rRNA from 1 species